CCAGCCGCCGGCGCCGGUACUGCUCUCUCCGGCCUGUCCCUCGGCUAGACACCGUCAUGCUGGAUGCUCGCUGUCCAUUCUUCUGGUCAAUCGUCACCAUGCCCGACGCUCUCUCGGCGAGCCGCCGCCACCGCGACCGACGUUCCGCCACCUACUACUGCCGCCACGACCGACGAUCUCCCCUGCAUGAAUUCUCUUGCCGCUACCGCUCUAUGGCCGCCACUACCCUUCCAGCUCCACGACGUAUGCUAUUCCGGCCACAAAUGCACAUGAAACAGCCUCACGCACCACCUAAUUCACCUAACCUCAUUACAUCACCCUUCAUUAACCUGCAAAUGCGGAAGAAAGUGGAUUUAAAUACCCCUGCUAUGUAGUGUCAUUGUCAUCCAUCACACACGACUUCUUGCGUCCCAUCGCAAGAGGCCUCCGGCCCGGUAGCUGCACAGUUCCUAUUUCCAAAUGCCUAUGAUUUUUCCAAUCCUGAAGCUUAUGCCUUUUUAUCUUUUCAGGUGGCGCUUCAGAUCAAAGCAAAUUCUCCUCGAGACGCACUCUGAUUUCUCUCCCUUGCACUACAGCUUAGCUUAUCUUUUCAAUCACGGGUCAACAACAGGUACAAAUGGACAACCAAAGUAGCAGGAUGUCACCUAAUUCCGCAAACAAUAAUUUUCCAUGUUCUACCCUCAUUUCAAUAAGAGAAGCUCAAAAGAAAUACAGAUGCAAUUGCAAAGAGGAAGAGCACAAAAGACCUGGAGUUUAUAACUGUCUGGUGAUGGACAUGAAUUUUUAGGACAUGAUGGCACGCGAUGCCGUAAUCCUGGGCGUCCGCAUGCGCAUCAGGAUUACUAAUUAAUAUAGGGCCUUUUGCAAUACGAUGGUAGUAACUCAAUGAUACAUAGAAAUAUACAGCCAUGGGUGGGCAAUGACGCUUUAAAUUCGUAUGGUACAACAUUGC